AGAACGAACGCUGGCGGCAUGCCUAAUACAUGCAAGUCGAACGAACUCUUCGGAGUUAGUGGCGCACGGGUGCGUAACGCGUGGGAAUCUGCCCUUGGGUUCGGAAUAACAGUUGGAAACGACUGCUAAUACCGGAUGAUGACGAAAGUCCAAAGAUUUAUCGCCCAGGGAUGAGCCCGCGUAGGAUUAGCUAGUUGGUGAGGUAAAGGCUCACCAAGGCGACGAUCCUUAGCUGGUCUGAGAGGAUGAUCAGCCACACUGGGACUGAGACACGGCCCAGACUCCUACGGGAGGCAGCAGUAGGGAAUAGUUGGACAAGUGGGCGAAAGCCUGGAUCCAGCAAUGUCGCGUGAGUGAUGAAGGCCUUAGGUUGUAAAGCUCUUUACCCGAGAUGAUAAUGACAGUAUCGGAAGAUAAGCCCCGGAUAACGUCCGUGCCAGCAGCCGC
rnacentral:rRNA from 1 species